rnacentral:snRNA from 1 species
AGCUUGGCACAGUCGCAGUAUUGUAGCCAAUGAGGCUUAUCCGAGGCGCAUUCAUUGCUAAUUAAAAUGACUUAAUUGUUCACACAAAUGAAUUUUGUGUAAGUCCGAAUUUAAUUUUAAAUAUGAA